rnacentral:rRNA from 1 species
UACAGAGGGUGCAAGCGUUUAAUCGGAAUUACUGGGCGUAAAGCGCGCGUAGGUGGUUUGUUAAGUUGAAUGUGAAAUCCCCGGGCUCAACCUGGGAACUGCAUCCAAACUGGCAAGCUAGAGUAGGGCAGAGGGUGGUGGAAUUUCCUGUGUAGCGGUGAAAUGCCGUAAGAUAUAGGAAGGAACACCAGUGGCGAAGGCGACCCACCUGGGCUCAUACUGACACUGAGGUGCGAAAGCGUGGGGAGCAAACAGG